AUUGAACGCUGGCGGCAGGCCUAACACAUGCAAGUCGAACGAGCGGCGGACGGGUGAGUAAUGUCUGGGAAACUGCCUGAUGGAGGGGGGUAACUACUGGAAACGGUAGCUAAUACCACAUACCAUCAGAUGUGCCCAGAUGGGAUUAGCUCGUAGGUGGGGUAAUGGCGCACCUAGGCGACGAUCCCUAGCUGGUCUGAGAGGCUGACCAGCCACACUGGAAAUGAGACACGGUCCAGACUCCUACGGGAGGCAGCAGUGGGGAAUAUUGCACAAUGGGCGCAAGCCUGAUGCAGCCAUGCCGCGUGUAUGAGGAAGGCCUUCGGGUUGUAAAGUACUUUCAGCGGGGAGGCGUUACCCGCAGAAGAAGCACCGGCUAACUCCGUGCCAGCAGCCGCGGUAAUAC
rnacentral:rRNA from 1 species